AGCUCGUAGUUGGAUUUCUGUUAAUAAUUUAUAUAUAAUAUUUGAUUAAUAUUUAUAUAAUAUUAACAUAAUUCAUAUUACUAAAUUUAUUAGUAUAUGAAAUUUUACUUUGAGAAAAUUAGAGUGCUUAAAGCAGGCAUAUGCCUUGAAUACUCCAGCAUGGAAUAAUAUUAAAGAUUUUUAUCUUUCUUAUUGGUUCUAAGAUAAAAAUAAUGAUUAAUAGGGACAGUUGGGGGCAUUUGUAUUUAACAGUCAGAGGUGAAAUUCUUAGAUUUGUUAAAGACAAACUAAUGCGAAAGCAUUUGCCAAGGAUGUUUUCAUUAAUCAAGAACGAAAGUUAGGGGAUCGAAGACGAUCAGAUACCGUCGUAGUCUUAACCAUAAACUAUGCCAACUAGAGAUUGGAGGUUGUUCCUUACUCCUUCAGCACCUUA
rnacentral:rRNA from 1 species